CCGAGUGAGGGUGUUCAAUCGCCCGACCUCCCAACCCUUUGUUCGAUGUACGCACAUGCCUCGGGGGGCGACCCGGCUCCGGCCGGCGACCCCCCGGCGUAUCAUUUUAAAACACUGCAUCUCUGCGUCAGAGUAUUGAAGCAAAUCAAUCA
rnacentral:misc_RNA from 1 species